UACAGAGGAUGCAAGCGUUAUCCGGAAUCAUUGGGCGUAAAGGGCGCGUAGGUGGCGGGACAAGCGUGCGGUGAAAGCCUGGGGCUCAACCCCGGGUCGGCCGUGCGAACUGUUUUGCUUGAGCACUGUAGAGGCAGGCGGAAUUCCGGGUGUAGCAGUGAAAUGCGUAGAUAUCGGGAGGAAUACCGAUGGCGAAGGCAGGUCUCUGGGCUGACACUGACGCUCAUGCACGAAAGCGUGGGGAGCAAACAGG
rnacentral:rRNA from 1 species